GGAUUCGGUUUUAGAGCCAGAGGCUGGACCAGGUUUCUGGUCACCAGAAGGGUAACCAGGACGAGGCCAAGACCCGGGAGGGUAUUUGAGAGGAUAAGGCUUUUCAGCUGGUGCAUCAGAUUCAGUUUUAGAGCCAGAGGCUGGACCAGGUUUCUGGUCACCAGAAGGGUAACCAGGAUAAUGCCAAGACCCCUGGGGGUAUUUGGGAGGAUAAGGCUUUUCAGCUGGUGCAUCAGAUUCAGUUUUAGAGCCAGAGGCUGGACCAGGUCUCUGGUCCCCAGAAGGGUAACCAGGAUGAGGCCAAGACCCGGGAGGGUAUUUGAGAGGAUAAGGCUUUUCAGCUGGUGCAUCGGAUUCGGUUUUAGAGCCAGAAGCUGGACCAGGUUUCUGGUCACCAGAAGGGUAACCAGGAUAAUGCCAAGACCCAGGGGGGUAUUUGAGAGGAUAAGGCUUUUCAGCUGGUGCAUCAGAUUCAGUUUUAGAGCCAGAGGCUGGACCAGGUUUCUGGUCACCAGAAGGGUAACCAGGAUAAUGCCAAGACCCGGGGGGGUAUUUGGGAGGAUAAGGCUUAUCCACUGGUGCAUUGGAUUCAGUUUUAGAGCCAGAGACUGGACCAGGUUUCUGGUCACCAGAAGGGUAACCAGGAUAAUGCCAAGACCCGGGGGGGUAUUUGGGAGGAAAAGGCUUAUCCACUGGUGCGUCGGAUUCAGUUUUAGAGCCAGAGACUGGACCAGGUUUCUGGUCACCAGAAGGGUAACCAGGAUAAUGCCAAGACCCGGGGGGGUAUUUGGGAGGAUAAGGCUUAUCCACUGGUGCAUCGGAUUCAGUUUUAGAGCCAGAGACUGGACCAGGUUUCUGGUCACCAGAAGGGUAACCAGGAUAAUGCCAAGACCCCUGGGGGUAUUUGAGAGGAUAAGGCUUUUCAGCUGGUGCAUCUGAUUCAGUUUUAGAGCCAGAGACUGGACCAGGUUUCUGGUCACCAGAAGGGUAACCAGGAUAAUGCCAAGACCCCUGGGGGUAUUUGGGAGGAUAAGGCUUUUCAGCUGGUGCAUCGGAUUCGGUUUUAGAGCCAGAAGCUGGACCAGGUUUCUGGUCACCAGAAGGGUAACCAGGAUAAUGCCAAGACCCGGGGGGGUAUUUGAGAGGAUAAGGCUUUUCAGCUGGUGCAUCAGAUUCAGUUUUAGAGCCAGAGGCUGGACCAGGUUUCUGGUCACCAGAAGGGUAACCAGGAUGAGGCCAAGACCCGGGGGGGUAUUUGAGAGGAUAAGGCUUUUCAGCUGGUGCAUCGGAUUCAGUUUUAGAGCCAGAGGCUGGACCAUGUUUCUGGUCACCAGAAGGGUAACCAGG